AAGCAUGACUUCCCCUUAAACAUUAAACUCUGUGAGAGAACAAAGAUAUCUGACCAACUACUAUCCACAGUUUGGCAAAACAUCUUGACAAAGCACUGCGAGCAACCGACGCCUACAGAAAAAGAAGAAAGACCCAGGCUCAGCAGUAGCCAGAAACGUGGUUAAUUACGCAAACUGAAGAAUGAUUGCUGAGGCCCAAGAAGGAAGAAAGGGGCCAGGUGAGUGAGUGGCUUCUCUUUAAUUUCAUAACAGCUACUGAGGGAGGAAUUGUCCAUAGCGAUUUCAUUUAUUGCUAAAAGAGAGAUUUAAUCAUUCAUUUCUACAAUCAAUGGGAUAACAAAUUGAUUCUGUUUAGUGGGGAGAGUUUGAUGCAUAUGACCAUUCCUUCUGAGUGUAAUAGUCGCUAUCAAUCAUACCUCCUCCCAAGCCAACAGCACUCUCAGUGGCCCAAAAUUCUGGACUUUUCUGAGUCCCUUUGAUGUUAUCAGAACAUAUGGAAUUAGUGUUGUCAGCUAUUUUCUUCUUGUCAGGAUAAUUCAUUGGUAUCUCUUCAAAGGAGUUGUGUUUUGUUUAGUUUUUUUUUUAAUAAAACACUUAUUCCCAGCAAAGAUAAAACAUAAUUUCUUAAUCCUAUAAGAAUUAACUAGGAACAACGUCAUCUCUCUUCUGACUCAUUAUUUGUGGCUUAUUAUGUCUAUAUACCAAAUGAUGGUUUUCUUUCUAAGUUAAUGUACAGACAGGUUUUUUUUUCCCCCAGGGAAAGACAUUGCUGCUGAUCA
rnacentral:lncRNA from 1 species